rnacentral:tRNA from 1 species
AUUAAGAUGUCUGAAGUUUAGGUGGUAAAUUGUAAGUUUAUUUAUGAAAAAAAAAUUCUCUUAAUA